rnacentral:tRNA from 2 species
GGAAGCUUAGGUUAACAUAAACCAAGAGCCUUCAAAGCUCUAAACAUGGAUUCAACCCCAUAACUUCUG